UACGAAGGGGGCUAGCGUUGCUCGGAAUCACUGGGCGUAAAGCGCACGUGGGCGGAUUUUUAAGUCAGGGGUGAAAUCCUGGAGCUCAACUCCAGAACUGCCUUUGAUACUGGGAAUCUCGAGUCCGGAAGAGGUGAGUGGAACUGCGAGUGUAGAGGUGAAAUUCGUAGAUAUUCGCAAGAACACCAGUGGCGAAGGCGGCUCACUGGUCCGGUACUGACGCUGAGGUGCGAAAGCGUGGGGAGCAAACGGG
rnacentral:rRNA from 1 species